rnacentral:lncRNA from 1 species
ACCUCUGAAAAAACCGUGAGUUGCACUGUUUCAAAAAGUACUUAAAUGCAAAAGCUACAAGCUGGAUUCAAACUGCCAUUUUAGCAACUCACUAGAAACAUAGAGGCUGUAAUGGUGUACAUGACUGACUAUCUUUUAUGGGGUAGUCAUGGUAACUACACUCAAACUUAGGAAGUAUGCAGGGUCACCCAGCCAAGCGAAAUUCACAGUCACGUGCACCACAGACCAGCUGGAUACCUAAUGUGAAGUGAGAAGGAGUAGACGUGCUUACUUACAUCUACAUUACUACACAACUAGUUUGUGUAUUGCUAUGGUGUUUAAGCAGCAGAACCUAAUUCCCAUUGGGGAUAGCACUGCAAGACAUAAUAUAACAAAAUUUUUAUCGUACCUUUAGAAGAUGCAGUUUACAUCUUCGUGCUUUCAGAUGUGAAAAAAAUUUUGGCACGAAUUUUAAUCCUUGCCAUUGCCAAAUGUAGAAUGCACAGAAAUAAAUUGAAAACUCAAGAAAAGUAUUGGAAAACACAGUGGCACCCAUCUUGCCUGCUACGACCCCUUUAAAAAGACUAAAGAAAUCACUUUGAACUGUAUGUAAGAAUGUUAAAUUACCUUUUUUUAUUAGUGGAGGUAGGCAUUUUGUGAAAUGGGAGUAUUGAAUUCAUUCAUGCAAAAAUCCCAUUGCAGUUUAGAAAUUUUCAAAAACCGACCUCUAGUAAUAUUUGAGAAGAAAUGAAAUUCACCCACAUUCAGCCGCGAUACUAAAACACGGAAGAGCGUCACUGCCCUACUUCGUCAAGAAUAAGUGAGCAUCAUUAUAUCGACCACCAACCAACUUCGUUGUGUGGGCGUGCAGGCUGUGCUUGCAAUUAAACGCACAUGGCACACAACAAAUACAGAACUUUGCCUCUUCUGUAAUCUUUGUUUCCAACAUUCUGGUCUUUUGCUUGUGCUCAUCUGUGCUUCAGUUUUGGUUCCAUCAUUGAACAAAACUUAUUUUCUUAAAUUUUAUUUUAUUGGUUUGAGCACAGAAUGAACUGUAUUUCAACCUAGCUUUAGCUGAGAAGUUCAAGCAGUGGUGAAUGUAUUGCACAAAUAGAGGCAGUUUAAGAUCUUCAGCAGCUGAGAUAUUUAAGCAAUUUUUAUUGCUUCUGUACAUGAGCUCUUGAAAUAAAUUUAUCUCUGUAAUAGCUACCUGUAAUCACGUCGUUGGCACUUAAUGCCAGUUUCUAGGAGUGUGACAUUGCAUUUUCAAAACAAGUGCAUAUAGUGAUAGACUAAUCGAACGCAUGCUCUGAGUCAACCAAUGUAGAACUGUGCAAACAAAUCUUGCCUAAUACAUUCAAUUUUACAGCACCCAAUUUGCUUGACGUAAAAUCGGAAGAAUGGCGCUACUGGAAGCUAGAUACAAAGAAAGGUGGUAAUGUUAGCGUAGAAAUGUUUGAAAUUACCCUCGGAUGCAUCUUCAGAGGCAUCGACAAGAACAGCAUCGAGGUCUUCCAGAAACUUUUGCAUGUGACGUUUCUGUCUGGCUAUUUUUACUAUUUUUCCUGAAGCAGGCCCCAAGAAUUCUUCCAGUUUCUCCAUUAUGGGCACUUUGGUAACUGCAAUCAUGUGAUCAUGGAUCGCCUCACACACAAAAGUAUGACUGGCAACAAGUACAAGGAAUGAGUGCCACUGCAGCAGCUGUCAUCACAGUUUGGUUGAGUGAGAUCACAUAAUAAAAGUAUUUCGGAAAGUUGUUA